rnacentral:rRNA from 1 species
UCCUACGGGGGGCAGCAGUAGGGAAUCUUCCACAAUGGACGAAAGUCUGAUGGAGCAACGCCGCGUGAAGGAAGACGGUUUUCGGAUUGUAAACUUCUGUUCUUAGUGAAGAAUAAUGACGGUAACUAAGGAGCAAGCCACGGCUAACUACGUGCCAGCAGCCGCGGUAAUACGUAGGUGGCAAGCGUUGUCCGGAAUUACUGGGUGUAAAGGGAGCGUAGGCGGGAAGCCAAGUCAGCUGUGAAAACUACGGGCUUAACCCGUAGACUGCAGUUGAAACUGGCUUUCUUGAGUGAAGUAGAGGU